rnacentral:rRNA from 1 species
UCGGGGUGCAGCAGGCGCGAAAACUUUACAAUGCGGGAAACCGUGAUAAGGGGACACCGAGUGUCAGCAUCAUAUGCUGGCUGUCCAGGUGUGUAAAAUACACCUGUUAGCAAGGGCCGGGCAAGACCGGUGCCAGCCGCCGCGGUAACACCGGCGGCCCGAGUGGUGAUCGUGAUUAUUGGGUCUAAAGGGUCCGUAGCCGGUUUGGUCAGUCCUCCGGGAAAUCUGAUAGCUUAACUAUUAGGCUUUCGGAGGAUACUGCCAGACUUGGAACCGGGAGAGGUAAGAGGUACUACAGGGGUAGGAGUGAAAUCUUGUAAUCCCUGUGGGACCACCUGUGGCGAAGGCGUCUUACCAGAACGGGUUCGACGGUGAGGGACGAAAGCUGGGGGCACGAACCGGAUUAGAUACCCGGGUAGUCCCAGCCGUAAACGAUGCUCGCUAGGUGUCAGGCAUGGCGCGACCGUGUCUGGUGCCGCAGGGAAGCCGUGAAGCGAGCCACCUGGGAAGUACGGCCGCAAGGCUGAAACUUAAAGGAAUUGGCGGGGGAGCAC